rnacentral:rRNA from 1 species
AUUGAACGCUGGCGGCAUGCCUUACACAUGCAAGUCGAACGGUAGCACGGGGGCAACCCUGGUGGCGAGUGGCGAACGGGUGAGUAACAUAUCGGAACAUACCCUAGAGUGGGGGAUAACGUAGCGAAAGUUACGCUAAUACCGCAUACGAUCUAAGGAUGAAAGUGGGGGAUCUUCGGACCUCAUGCUCAUGGAGUGGCCGAUAUCUGAUUAGCUAGUUGGUGAGGUAAAGGCUCACCAAGGCGACGAUCAGUAGCUGGUUUGAGAGAACGACCAGCCACACUGGAACUGAGACACGGUCCAGACUCCUACGGGAGGCAGCAGUGGGGAAUUUUGGACAAUGGGGCAACCCUGAUCCAGCAAUGCCGCGUGAGUGAAGAAGGCCUUCGGGUUGUAA